AGAGUUUGAUCCUGGCUCAGAUUGAACGCUGGCGGCAUGCUUUACACAUGCAAGUCGAACGGCAGCACGGGGGCAACCCUGGUGGCGAGUGGCGAACGGGUGAGUAAUACAUCGGAACGUAUCCUUGAGUGGGGGAUAACGCAGCGAAAGUUGUGCUAAUACCGCAUGAGCUCUGAGGAGGAAAGUGGGGGACCGUAAGGCCUCACGCUGAAGGGGCGGCCGAUGUCCGAUUAGCUAGUUGGUGAGGUAAAGGCUCACCAAGGCUUCGAUCGGUAGCUGGUCUGAGAGGAUGAUCAGCCACACUGGGACUGAGACACGGCCCAGACUCCUACGGGAGGCAGCAGUGGGGAAUUUUGGACAAUGGAGGCAACCCUGAUCCAGCCAUGCCGCGUGAGUGAAGAAGGCCUUCGGGUUGUAAAGCUCUUUCGUGAGGGAAGAAACGGCCAUAGUGAAUAGCUGUGGUUACUGACGAUACCUCAAGAAGAAGCACCGGCUAACUACGUGCCAGCCGCCGCGGU
rnacentral:rRNA from 1 species